GCAUUAUGUCCAACUGAGUUCCUGUUUGCUCUAAAUCUGUCACUUUCUUCGACUACCUCCUCCACCGUACAGUACAUUACAAACUCAGAGGGCUUCCUGUAAGCUUAGAAAGACUGAUGCUCUCAUAAUCAUCCCAGUUCAUAUCCAUCGCGCUUUUAUGCAGCAUGAUAUUAUAGUUACAUUAUGAUGGCUGCCUUUCACUCCCGCUUUUAAUGUUUGUGAGAACAAUGUUUGUUUUAACUUAAUGAAGUGUCCCGGUGUUAUAUUGCAUCAAGGCUGCCUCCUUUUUUAAGCAGUUCAACAUGUUGGGAAAUGCUCUUGUUUGUCAUCAAACAUAGGCUAGUUGCCCUCUGGUUGUGGUGUAUGAUUACGCUCGGCUAAUUAUAACCCAGACCUGUCUUGGUACUGUAUGCACAACAGUGAAAUUAUUACCAACUUUGUCAUCUGGCUGUCGACUUAAAGGCAAAUACUGCCGAAAGUUAACAAACCAUAACCUGGGGCUUCUCUGAACUUGAACUUUAAAGAACCGUGUGAGGCUUUUGAACAAGAACAACAACAAAAAGAAGUGGCGAUGAUAUUGUUAUCGAUUUUCUUUCACGUUUAAUGUGAACAUGAGAUCUAAGUUUAGUAUUUUUUGUGCAUUGUUAUAUUUAUUUUUCUGUGAUCUUGUUUUGUCUUUUUAAUUAUUUUCCCUGCCAGACGUUUGGUUUGUUGUAGUCAUCCUUGUUGUGGUGUAACGACACACUAGAGUUUUGCAAAGGCCAAAAACCUAGACCCACACCUAACCCAAGACCUGAGGUUAUAUUUCUGCUCUAAAAACAAACGUACAGCUGCUUCCAAGCUGUUCAAUGGGGGGCUAGUAUUAUUCAUAUAGUAGCUUUUGAACUUUAUAGUUAGUUUUUGACUGUUACAGAACCUUGUUCGUGAGCGAAUUCAUUUCAUUAGGCCACUCACUUUUACUUUGAAUGAACGGCUCUGCACCCGCGGCAUGGUCUUCUUUUGUCUGAUAGCUAUCAUUUGUCUUUAGCUUAAGUUGUUAACAGACAUCUAUGAUGUCUCAGAGUUGCCUGGACGUUGGUGCAUUAACGGAAAAGCUCCCACACAGACACGUACAAAGUUUGACUGUCAUCUUAUUGGCAGGACAUGGCUGAAAGCUUUGAUGAAGUGGGUGUAUUGCUUCAAACUCAUCCAUUGCACUUUAAACCUUGCACAUUCUCAAUCUGCCCGAGGGCGGGAGGUAUAGACAAGGUCCUGCUAUAAUUGUGUUUUUGUUUAGCUUUUGUUCAAGAAACUCUGUGGGAGGACAUGUUUGGAUUUUGUGGAUAGAGACUGUUUUGAUACCCCAAAUCUCUCCUAACGAUGCAAAUACAUCUAGCACAUUGGGCCUCAUGCAAGAACCUCUUGUAUGAGCAUGCCAAUUUACUAAGGGGUUUGACAAGUUUUUUCUUUACAUUUUAUCGGCAUCUUUAUCUCAAACCAUUUCUGCUUUGUGUCACAGCUUUGCAAUGACACAGCAUUUUCAGGUGUAUGGAUAUUGUUCUGGGUUCUGCUAAAUACUAUUAUGUUUAUGUAUAUCCAACAGCAGGACUUUGUGCUUCAGGUUCUUCUUUUUACUCUUGCGUAAUGUUUUUGUGAAUGAAAAUUGGUCAUAAAUGGAGCAAAACAGGUAGCCUUAUACAGCAAUUUGGGGGCAUUCAUUCUGCUAAAAAUUCACAUUUUGGCAUCCAUCAAGUUGAAAUUAACAAUGUACUCUAAAUCCGACUAGGAACCUUUGUUUGAUUUAAUCUUACGAAAAUGAGUAGAAUAGGGUAAGAAUAUGAAAAUAUUCUUGCAUGAGGCCUGAACAUGGAUGUAAAAAAAUAACUGGCAAAAAUGAUAUUACAUUAAAAAAAGAGAAACUAAACAUAGCAGCUGUUCUUUUUUAUUUUUGUGAUUUAUACAACAAUGAUGUUUUUCAUCCAUGCUCUGAUUUUCAGUUUUACUUGUGUUCAUUAUUUUUGCUGCAAGUGGCAGACAGUGACUACUGCAAGUGUACAGCUUGUAUGUGAGGUUGAGUUUCAGCUAUAACAAUAUUGGCAUUCAUUAAAGCACCAUGGUGAU